UUUUCCUCAUUUUUGCUGUCAAAAACAAAAAACCUUGCCAAGCUUUGCACAGUUCUGGACCAUCAUUUCUCAUCAUGUUAAACUACUAGCACAUAACCCAACAGCAAAAAACCAGUAGCAGACCAAACACUUUCACUCAUUUCCCAACUUCACCUUGCUAUUUUCUUGGCAUUUCAAGCUCCCUGUCAAGCACAAAGGAAAAACCUGCCAUACCAUAGACCAAUAUCCAACAGCAUGACCUUGCUUUGGAUUGAAACAACAUAACCUCUUUUGCCAUCA
rnacentral:lncRNA from 1 species